GACGAACGCUGGCGGCGUGCUUAACACAUGCAAGUCGAACGGAAAGGCCCCGCCUUUGUGGGGUGCUCGAGUGGCGAACGGAUGAGUAACACGUGAGUAACCUGCCCUUGACUCUGGGAUAACUUAAGGAAACUGGGGCUAAUACCGGAUAGGAGCUCCUGCUGCAUGGUGGGGGUUGGAAAGUGUCGGCGGUUGGGGCUGGACUGGAGGCUUAUCAGCUCGUUGGUGGGGUAGUGGCUGACCAGGGCUUUGACGGGUAGCCGGCCUGAGCGGGUGACCGGCAACAUUGGGACUGAGAUAGGGCCCAGACUCCUACGGGAGUGAGCAGUGGGGGAGAUUGCGCAAUGGGCGGAAGCCGUAUGCAGCGACGCCGUGUGCGGUAUGACGGCCUUCGGGUUGUAAACCGCUUUCGCCUGUGACGAAGCGUGAGUGACGGUAAUGGGUAAAGAAGCACCGGCUAACUACGUG
rnacentral:rRNA from 1 species